rnacentral:lncRNA from 1 species
UUUUAAAUAAUAUUAAAAGAUUAGAUAUUAUUUUAGAUUUUAAUCCAUUAUUUAUUAUUCUUUUUAUCUUACUAGGGGGUCUCAUUAUAUAUGCUUAUACAUUUCUUCUAAAACUGUUUUUGAAUAUCCUUUAAAUCCUGGUAGAGAUUUUCAACUUUCUAGUGUUCCUCCAUUUCUAAUAUAUGAUGUGGGGAUUACUUCCUUAGGUAAUACUCUUAAAAGAGAUUUUAUUUCAUUAUCUACUGAUAAACAAUUUCUUAAAUAAAAAUCUUUAUAACCUAUUCUUAUGAUUUCAAAUCUUCUUAUAGCAUAAAGUAUUAAAC